UACAGAGGUCUCAAGCGUUGUUCGGAUUCAUUGGGCGUAAAGGGUGUGUAGGUGGCGCCGUAAGUCGGGUGUGAAAUUUCGAGGCUUAACCUCGAAACUGCAUUCGAUACUGCGGUGCUUGAGGACUGGAGAGGAGACUGGAAUUCAUGGUGUAGCAGUGAAAUGCGUAGAUAUCAUGAGGAAGACCAGUGGCGAAGGCGGGUCUCUGGGACGGUACUGACGCUGAUGUGCGAAAGCGUGGGGAGCAAACAGG
rnacentral:rRNA from 1 species